rnacentral:rRNA from 1 species
UUAAGCGAAUAAGCGUACACGGUGGAUGCCUAGGCAAUCAGAGGCGAUGAAGGACGUGCUAAUCUGCGAAAAGCGUCGGUAAGGUGAUAUGAACCGUUAUACCCGACGAUAUCCGAAUGGGGAAACCCAGUAUCCAAUGGAUACUAUCAUUAACUGAAUCCAUAGGUUAAUGAGGCGAACCGGGAGAACUGAAACAUCUCAGUACCCCGAGGAAAAGAAAUCAACCGAGAUUCCCCUAGUAGCGGCGAGCGAACGGGGAGCAGCCCAGAGUCUUAAUCAAUAGCAGUGUCAGGAGAACGGUCUGGAAAGUCCGGCAGUAAAGGGUGAUAGCCCCGUAUCUGAAGAUGCUGUUAUUGUGAACUCGAUGAGUAGGGCGGGACACGUGUUAUCCUGUCUGAAUAUGGGGGGACCAUCCUCCAAGGCUAAAUACUCCUGAUUGACCGAUAGUGAACCAGUACCGUGAGGGAAAGGCGAAAAGAACCCCGGCGAGGGGAGUGAAAAAGAACCUGAAACCGUGUACGUACAAGCAGUAGGAGCCUCUUUAUGGGGUGACUGCGUACCUUUUGUAUAAUGGGUCAGCGACUUAUAUUCUGUAGCAAGGUUAACCGUAUAGGGGAGCCGUAGGGAAACCGAGUCUUAACUGGGCGAAUGAGUUGCAGGGUAUAGACCCGAAACCCGGUGAUCUAUCCAUGGGCAGGUUGAAGGUUGGGUAACACUAACUGGAGGACCGAACCGACUAAUGUUGAAAAAUUAGCGGAUGACUUGUGGAUAGGGGUGAAAGGCCAAUCAAACCGGGAGAUAGCUGGUUCUCCCCGAAAGCUAUUUAGGUAGCGCCUCGUGAACUCAUCUUCGGGGGUAGAGCACUGUUUCGACUAGGGGGUCAUCCCGACUUACCAACUCGAUGCAAACUGCGAAUACCGAAGAAUGUUAUCACGGGAGACACACGGCGGGUGCUAACGUCCGUCGUGAAGAGGGAAACAACCCAGACCGCCAGCUAAGGUCCCAAAGUCAUGGUUAAGUGGGAAACGAAGUGGGAAGGCUCAGACAGCCAGGAUGUUGGCUUAGAAGCAGCCAUCAUUUAAAGAAAGCGUAAUAGCUCACUGGUCGAGUCGGCCCGCGCGGAAGAUGUAACGGGGCUAAACCAUGCACCGAAGCUGCGGCAGCGACACAAAGUGUUGUUGGGUAGGGGAGCGUUCUGUAAGCCUGCGAAGGUGUACUGUGAGGUAUGCUGGAGGUAUCAGAAGUGCGAAUGCUGACAUAAGUAACGAUAAUGCGGGUGAAAAACCCGCACGCCGGAAGACCAAGGGUUCCUGUCCAACGUUAAUCGGGGCAGGGUGAGUCGACCCCUAAGGCGAGGCUGAAAAGCGUAGUCGAUGGGAAACGGGUUAAUAUUCCCGUACUGGUGGUAACUGCGAUGGGGGAACGGAGAAGGCUAGGUUGUCCGGGCGACGGUCGUCCCGGUUCAAGCAGGUAGGCAGAGUGAUUAGGCAAAUCCGGUCACUUAAUGCUGAGAUGUGAUGACGAACCACUAAGGUGGUGAAGCAAUUGAUGCCCCGCUUCCAGGAAAAGCCUCUAAGCUUCAGGUUACCAACAAUCGUACCCCAAACCGACACAGGUGGUCAGGUAGAGAAUACUCAGGCGCUUGAGAGAACUCGGGUGAAGGAACUAGGCAAAAUGGUGCCGUAACUUCGGGAGAAGGCACGCUGGCGGUAGGUAAAGUCCCUCGCGGACGGCGCUGAAGCCAGUCGAAGAUACCAGCUGGCUGCAACUGUUUAUUAAAAACACAGCACUGUGCAAACACGAAAGUGGACGUAUACGGUGUGACGCCUGCCCGGUGCUGGAAGGUUAAUUGAUGGGGUUAGCCGUAAGGCGAAGCUCCUGAUCGAAGCCCCAGUAAACGGCGGCCGUAACUAUAACGGUCCUAAGGUAGCGAAAUUCCUUGUCGGGUAAGUUCCGACCUGCACGAAUGGCGUAAUGAUGGCCAGGCUGUCUCCACCCGAGACUCAGUGAAAUUGAACUCGCUGUGAAGAUGCAGUGUACCCGCGGCAAGACGGAAAGACCCCGUGAACCUUUACUAUAGCUUGACACUGAACAUUGAGCCUUGAUGUGUAGGAUAGGUGGGAGGCUUUGAAGUGUGGACGCCAGUCUGCAUGGAGCCAACCUUGAAAUACCACCCUUUAACGUUUGAUGUUCUAACCUAGGCCCAUAAACUGGGUCGGGGACCGUGUCUGGUGGGUAGUUUGACUGGGGCGGUCUCCUCCUAAAGAGUAACGGAGGAGCACGAAGGUUGGCUAAGCAUGGUCGGACAUCAUGCGGUUAGUGCAAAGGCAUAAGCCAGCUUGACUGCGAGAGUGACGGCUCGAGCAGGUACGAAAGUAGGUCUUAGUGAUCCGGUGGUUCUGAAUGGAAGGGCCAUCGCUCAACGGAUAAAAGGUACUCCGGGGAUAACAGGCUGAUACCGCCCAAGAGUUCAUAUCGACGGCGGUGUUUGGCACCUCGAUGUCGGCUCAUCACAUCCUGGGGCUGAAGUAGGUCCCAAGGGUAUGGCUGUUCGCCAUUUAAAGUGGUACGCGAGCUGGGUUUAGAACGUCGUGAGACAGUUCGGUCCCUAUCUGCCGUGGGCGUUGGAAGAUUGAGAGGGGUUGCUCCUAGUACGAGAGGACCGGAGUGAACGCACCACUGGUGUUCGGGUUGUCAUGCCAAUGGCAUUGCCCGGUAGCUAAGUGCGGAAGAGAUAACCGCUGAAAGCAUCUAAGCGGGAAACUUGCCUCGAGAUGAGUCUUCCCUGUCGCUUUAAGCGACCUAAAGGAACGUUUAAGACUAAGACGUUGAUAGGCUGGGUGUGUAAGCGUAGCGAUACGUUGAGCUAACCAGUACUAAUGAACCGUGAGGCUUAACCUG